rnacentral:rRNA from 1 species
UACGGGAGGCAGCAGUGGGGAAUUUUGGACAAUGGGCGCAAGCCUGAUCCAGCCAUGCCGCGUGCAGGAUGAAGGCCUUCGGGUUGUAAACUGCUUUUGUACGGAACGAAAAGACUCUGGUUAAUACCUGGGGUCCAUGACGGUACCGUAAGAAUAAGCACCGGCUAACUACGUGCCAGCAGCCGCGGUAAUACGUAGGGUGCGAGCGUUAAUCGGAAUUACUGGGCGUAAAGCGUGCGCAGGCGGUUAUAUAAGACAGAUGUGAAAUCCCCGGGCUCAACCUGGGAACUGCAUUUGUGACUGUAUAGCUAGAGUACGGCAGAGGGGGAUGGAAUUCCGCGUGUAGCAGUGAAAUGCGUAGAUAUGCGGAGGAACACCGAUGGCGAAGGCAAUCCCCUGGGCCUGUACUGACGCUCAUGCACGAAAGCGUGGGGAGCAAACAGGAUUAGAUACCCUGGUAGUCCACGCCCUAAACGAUGUCAACUGGUUGUUGGGUCUUCACUGACUCAGAACGAAGCUACGCGGA